rnacentral:rRNA from 1 species
CCUACGGGAGGCAGCAGUGGGGAAUAUUGCACAAUGGGCGCAAGCCUGAUGCAGCCAUGCCGCGUGUGUGAAGAAGGCCUUCGGGUUGUAAAGCACUUUCAGCGGGGAGGAAGGCGGUGAGGUUAAUAACCUUAUCGAUUGACGUUACCCGCAGAAGAAGCACCGGCUAACUCCGUGCCAGCAGCCGCGGUAAUACGGAGGGCGCAAGCGUUAAUCGGAAUUACUGGGCGUAAAGCGCACGCAGGCGGUCUGUCAAGUCGGAUGUGAAAUCCCCGGGCUCAACCUGGGAACUGCAUUCGAAACUGGCAGGCUAGAGUCUUGUAGAGGGGGGUAGAAUUCCAGGUGUAGCGGUGAAAUGCGUAGAGAUCUGGAGGAAUACCGGUGGCGAAGGCGGCCCCCUGGACAAAGACUGACGCUCAGGUGCGAAAGCGUGGGGAGCAAACAGGAUUAGAUACCCUAGUAGUC